GGGGUAAGAGCCCACCGCUCCGAUGGUGACAAAGGAGGCACGGCAAACCUUACGGAUUGAAAGGCCAAAUAAACCCCAAAAGUGAAACGGCCCGUUUCCGUUCCAGCUCUUAACCGAGUUGGGCGUUGGGGAGGGUAGGCUGCUGGAGCCUCACAGCAAUGUGUGGCCUAGAUAAAUGACAGGGCUCGACAGAACCCGGCUUACAGGUUGGCAAAAUAU
rnacentral:RNase_P_RNA from 1 species